GCAAAGGGAAGGAGAGGUGCUGGAGGUGAAGGAGAGGGAGCUAGGACCAGAGUGGUAGAUAUAACAGAGUGGCGACACUUCCAUUGGACUCCGUUGUAGCGCCGACUUCCGGGACGACCUAUUGCCUGCUGGUUUGUGAGCUCGACUUCGCCAUGUGAAGUCGCCCCAUCAGUCCCUGGCAGUCUGGUCCCUGGAGCAACUGGCCCUGGAGCAGCUGCCCCUGAAUCACCUGCCCCUUGCAAAGUGGCCUCUUGAUUGCUCUCGGUGUUUCCCGUCAUGUCCUUUUCAUCGCUCUUGAAAUCCACAUAAAUUUCUCCCUCAAUCUCUGUAAUAAUUACAAGGUAAUGUUGCUGUUUUAUGUAUUUUGCCUUUGCAUUUGCAACUACUGUCAUCUCCAAUGUAAGAAAAUUAAUUAAAGUGAAUCAUUUCUGUAAUGUGAAUUAAAUCAUCUGCCACAAUCAGAAACCAAUAAAAUGUAUAAAUGGAUCUACCGGCAAUUGUUAAUUGGGUAGAAAUGUGUCGAUUAUCUACAUUGUGUGCAAAUCCUCAGUGAAUCCCUGACCUCUGGUUGUUUUUUAAACUGAAUGUACAAAUAUGAAUUAUGUAAUCUCAUUAGGAGUGUAGUCUAUCCUUGAAUUACAUGAAAUGGGGAAUAUUGUUGGCUGCAUGGAUCAUACCGAAGUUUAAUUUGAUGAAAUAUGUGUGGUCCGUUGCACUUGGUUCUGGAGGCACCCUCACAGAAGGGGGUUUCCUCCUCUUCGGCUUAGGGCGAUGAAUGAAAACUGUUGGGACUGCAUCGGGCCUCAGCUUCAACAUCCCUUCUCUUUUUGUGGCAGUGAAUUGGUCAUCUUCAAAGUGUACCUUUUUAUAGGUAGGCUUGUAAGAUCAGUUUCCAUUGCACUUAAAAUAUCAUUGAAAAGUCAUAAUUCUCUACACUUAGAAUUAUUAUGCCCUUUGAAAUGCUAUCAAGUGAUGUGAACAUUAAUUACAUUACAUAGAUUUUGACGGUUGCUGACCCCUGUCACUUGUACGUUUUGACGGCUGACCAUUGCCAUCCAUUUCUUCCUGCGCUCUUGGUCCUUGGGGAAGCCAUACAUGUGGUAACCCUUCCCGGACCGAUUGGAGCAUCCAAACGCUGCACAGCCAACCAUGGUAUGACCAUUGAUCUAAACCAAUUUUGAAUUUGCUCAGGGCUAUUAUAAGUAUUAUAAUGGCAUAAAGUAUAGUAUAUUUGCAACGUUAUAUGUUAAUGGUUUGCCCUAAGUAUAUUAUAUAGUGUUCCCUGCCGUGUCCAUUGUUGAAUCUGUUAACACAAUCACACUCACUUGUUCUUGUCAUACUAAUUGUUUAAUAAAAAUAAAAACGAUUUCAUUCAUCCAAGCGUAA
ensembl:lncRNA